AGAGUUUGAUCCUGGCUCAGAUUGAACGCUGGCGGCAGGCCUAACACAUGCAAGUCGAGCGGUAGAGAGGAGCUUGCUCCUCUUGAGAGCGGCGGACGGGUGAGUAAUGCCUAGGAAUCUGCCUGGUAGUGGGGGAUAACGUUCGGAAACGGACGCUAAUACCGCAUACGUCCUACGGGAGAAAGCAGGGGACCCUCGGGCCUUGCGCUAUCAGAUGAGCCUAGGUCGGAUUAGCUAGUUGGUGAGGUAAUGGCUCACCAAGGCGACGAUCCGUAACUGGUCUGAGAGGAUGAUCAGUCACACUGGAACUGAGACACGGUCCAGACUCCUACGGGAGGCAGCAGUGGGGAAUAUUGGACAAUGGGCGAAAGCCUGAUCCAGCCAUGCCGCGUGUGUGAAGAAGGUCUUCGGAUUGUAAAGCACUUUAAGUUGGGAGGAAGGGCAGUAAAUUAAUACUUUGCUGUUUUGACGUUACCGACAGAAUAAGCACCGGCUAACUCUGUGCCAGCAGCCGCGGUAAUACAGAGGGUGCAAGCGUUAAUCGGAAUUACUGGGCGUAAAGCGCGCGUAGGUGGUUUGUUAAGUUGGAUGUGAAAUCCCCGGGCUCAACCUGGGAACUGCAUUCAAAACUGACUGACUAGAGUAUGGUAGAGGGUGGUGGAAUUUCCUGUGUAGCGGUGAAAUGCGUAGAUAUAGGAAGGAACACCAGUGGCGAAAGCGACCACCUGGACUAAUACUGACACUGAGGUGCGAAAGCGUGGGGAGCAAACAGGAUUAGAUACCCUGGUAGUCCACG
rnacentral:rRNA from 1 species